rnacentral:rRNA from 1 species
UACGUAGGUCCCGAGCGUUGUCCGGAUUUAUUGGGCGUAAAGCGAGCGCAGGUGGUUUAUUAAGUCUGGUGUAAAAGGCAGUGGCUCAACUAUUGUAUGCAUUGGAAACUGGUAGACUUGAGUGCAGGAGAGGAGAGUGGAAUUCCAUGUGUAGCGGUGAAAUGCGUAGAUAUAUGGAGGAACACCGGUGGCGAAAGCGGCUCUCUGGCCUGUAACUGACACUGAGGCUCGAAAGCGUGGGGAGCAAACAGG